CCGGCACGGGUGGAGUAACGCGUACGCAACUUGCCUAUCAGAGGGGGAUAGCCCGGCGAAAGUCGGACUAAUACCGCAUGAAGCAGGGAUCCCGCAUGGGAAUAUUUGCUAAAGAUUCAUCGCUGAUAGAUAGGCAUGCGUUCCAUUAGGCAGUUGGCGGGGUAACGGCCACCAAACCGACGAUGGAUAGGGGUUCUGAGAGGAAGGUCCCCCACAUUGGUACUGAGACACGGACCAA
rnacentral:rRNA from 1 species